rnacentral:rRNA from 1 species
CGCGGCAAGACGGAAAGACCCCGUGAACCUUUACUAUAGCUUGACACUGAACAUUGAGCCUUGAUGUGUAGGAUAGGUGGGAGGCUUUGAAGCGUGGACGCCAGUCUGCGUGGAGCCGACCUUGAAAUACCACCCUUUAAUGUUUGAUGUUCUAACGUGGACCCGUUACCCGGGUUGCGGACAGUGUCUGGUGGGUAGUUUGACUGGGGCGGUCUCCUCCUAAAGAGUAACGGAGGAGCACGAAGGUUGGCUAAUCCUGGUCGGACAUCAGGAGGUUAGUGCAAUGGCAUAAGCCAGCUUGACUGCGAGCGUGACGGCGCGAGCAGGUGCGAAAGCAGGUCAUAGUGAUCCGGUGGUUCUGAAUGGAAGGGCCAUCGCUCAACGGAUAAAAGGUACUCCGGGGAUAACAGGCUGAUACCGCCCAAGAGUUCAUAUCGACGGCGGUGUUUGGCACCUCGAUGUCGGCUCAUCACAUCCUGGGGCUGAAGUAGGUCCCAAGGGUAUGGCUGUUCGCCAUUUAAAGUGGUACGCGAGCUGGGUUUAGAACGUCGUGAGACAGUUCGGUCCCUAUCUGCCGUGGGCGCUGGAGAACUGAGGGGGGCUGCUCCUAGUACGAGAGGACCGGAGUGGACGCAUCACUGGUGUUCGGGUUGUCAUGCCAAUGGCACUGCCCGGUAGCUAAAUGCGGAAGAGAUAAGUGCUGAAAGCAUCUAAGCACGAAACUUGCCCCGA